CACCUCUAGCAUAACAAGUAUUAGAGGCAUUGCCUGCCCAGUGACUGUAGUUAAACGGCCGCGGUAUCCUGACCGUGCAAAGGUAGCAUAAUCACUUGUUCCUUAAUUAGGGACUUGUAUGAACGGCUAAACGAGGGUCCAACUGUCUCUUAUUUUCGAUCAGUGAAAUUGACCUUCCAGUGAAGAGGCUGGAAUCCUAAAAUAAGACGAGAAGACCCUAUGGAGCUUAAAUUAAUAAACUUAUAUGAAUAUCUUCCAUAAACCUAGUGGAAUAAAAACAGAAAUAAUAAGCUUAAAAUUUUGGUUGGGGUGACCUCGGAGAACAGAAAAUCCUCCGAACGAUUAUAACAUAGACCAACAAGUCAAAGUAAACCAAUUUUCCAAUUGACCCAAAAAUUUGAUCAACGGACCAAGUUACCCUAGGGAUAACAGCGCAAUCCUAUUUAAGAGUCCAUAUCGACAAUAGGGUUUACGACCUCGAUGUUGGAUCAGGACAUCCCAAUGGUGCAGAAGCUAUUAAUGGUUCGUUUGUUCAACG
rnacentral:rRNA from 1 species